UAGAAAAUAGACUAAAAUUAAGUCAUUAGAUUCAUAAUCUAAAAAUAUAAUUAAUAUUUUUCUAA
rnacentral:tRNA from 1 species